UGUUAACAAAACGUCUUGCUCUAGAAAAAAAAAUUUCUCAAUUUGGAACGGUGAAGCAUUUUAUUUGACUGCAGUAAUCUCAAUUUUUUUAUUAGAGCAAAAAUCCCAACCUAUAAUACAAUGGGAGAGUUAACAACAUACCAGCUUUUAAAAUAGCAAGGAGUGUUACUAUGGAACAUCGGUUUCAAUCAUAUGUGGCUCAAGGAAGGUGAUCCUUUGUGGCUGCGUGGGUUGUUUGAUCAGGAACGAAACUGUUUGCAUGAUGUGUGAGCAAUCUUAUGAUCUUCCUUCUGAUAUAUCUUCAGUGGUAGUUACAGAGUUUUAGGCUCUGUUUCUUUCUUAUUUCUUUGGGUGUUUUCUUUUACUCUGUUUUGUUUUGACGCUUCCUUUUGGUUUGAAGACUGUUUAGGUUUGUGGGGACAAUCCUGAGUGUUUCUAUUUAUUUAUAAAUACAAUUUUAGAGUUAAAAAAAAAAAAAAAAUACAAUGGGAGAGUUUUCUCUCCAAUUAGAGUGUCCACGUCGUCAUCUCUCAUUUAUGCUGAAUCUGCUGCUCUGCCGCUACCUUGGAUGAUUAUUUUCCGCCUUGGUGGGACUUUGCAGUUAAAAAUUUGGUUGUCUCCUCCACUUCUGGGAUUCAUGUUGCGUGAAGAAGAGUGGUGAAUUCAUUACUGACAGUGUACCACCCUGGUUGGAACAUCCACGGAUUCUUCCCCGUCCCCGAUGUUGGCCAAAUACGUUUCCUGCAAGGCUCUGAGUCUUUAACCUCAAGCAGGUCCGUAGCAAGUCUCAUACAAAACCAGAUUGGGAGUUGCAGUACCUGAGGUGUUUUCCACGUGUUGAGACCAUGCAAGGAAUUGAGAAGAACAAACUGGUUUUGAAUAUUACCAUUGGAGUUGAAACAUAUUUUCAAAAUUGUAUAUUUGUUCAAGAGAAUUUGGAUAAAUACACAACUGUUUAGAGCUUGGAAAAUAAUAUGACUUUUGAUUUUUUUUUAA